GGAAGCGUGGCCGAGUCUGGAUUAUGGCACCGGUCUAGAAAACCGGCGAGCUUGGGCUCCAGAGGUUCAAAUCCUCCCGCUUCCG
rnacentral:tRNA from 2 species